rnacentral:rRNA from 1 species
UACGGAGGGUGCAAGCGUUAUCCGGAUUCACUGGGUUUAAAGGGUGUGUAGGCGGGUCUGUAAGUCCGUGGUGAAAUCUCCGAGCUCAAUUUGGAAACUGCCAUUGAUACUAUAGAUCUUGAAUUUUGUUGAGGUAGGCGGAAUAUGUCAUGUAGCGGUGAAAUGCAUAGAUAUGACAUAGAACACCGAUUGCGAAGGCAGCUUACUAAGCAAAUAUUGACGCUGAGGCACGAAAGCGUGGGGAUCAAACAGG